GGUUCGAUCAUGGCUCAGAUUGAACAUGGCGGAUCCCUUUACACAUGCAAGUCGAACGGCAGCGCGGACUUCGGUCUGGUGGCGAGUGGCGAACGGGUGAGUAAUGUAUCGGAACGUGCCUAGUAGCGGGGAUAACUACGCGAAAGCUGUGUAUACGCCCUUCGGGGAAAGCGGGGGACCUUCGGGCCUCGCACUAUUAGAGCGGCCGAUAUCGGAUUAGCUAGUUGGUGGGGUAACGGCUCACCAAGGCGACGAUCCGUAGCUGGACGAGGAAGGAUGAUGACCAGCCACACUGGGACUGAGACACGGCCCAGACUCCUACGGGGAGGCAGCGUUGGGGAAUUUUGGACGUGGAAACCUGAUCCAGCCAUCCCGCGUGUUGCGAUGAAGGCCUUCGGGUUGUAAAGCACUUUUGGCAGGAAAGAAACGGCGGGAUAAUACCCCGUGCAACUGACGAAACACCUGCAGAAUAAGCACCGGCUAACUACGUGCCAGCAGCCGCGGUAAUACCGUAGGGUGCAAGCGUUAAUCGGAAUUACUGGGCGUAAAGCGUGCGCGGGCGGUUCCCGGAAAGAAAGAUGUGAAAUCCCAGAGCUUAACUUUGGAACUGCAUUUUUAACUACCGAGCUAGAGUGUGUCAGAGGGGAGGUGCGGAAUUCCACUUUAAUCAGCAGUGAAAUGCGUAGAUAUGCGGAAGGAACACCAUUAAGCGAAGGCGACCUCCUGGGAUAACACAGCGCUCAUGCACGAAAGCGUGGGAGCAAACGGGAUUAGAUACCCUGGUAGUCCCGCCUAAACGAUGUCAGCCAAGCUGUUGGGGCCAGCUGGGCCUUGUUGGCCUGACUAACGCGUGAAGUUGACCGCCUGAAGUACGGUCGCAAGAUUCAGCUCAAAGGAAUUGACGGGGACCCGCACAAGCGGUGGAUGAUGUGGUUAAUUCGAUGCAACGCGAAAACCUUACCUACCUUGACAUAUCUGGAAUCCGAAGAUUUGGGAGUGCUCGCAAGAGAACCAGACACAGGUGCUGCAUGGCUGUCGUCAGCUCGUGUCGUGAGAUGUUGGGUUAAAUCCACGCAACAGGCACCCAACCCUUGUCAUUAGUUGCUGCGAAAGACACUCUAAUGGGGACUACCGGUGACAAAGCCGGAGGAAGGUGGGGAUGACGUCAAGUCCUCGCUGGCCCAUAUGGUGGGGCUUCGCGUCAUACAAUGGUGGAGACAGAGGUCGCCAACCCGCGAGGAGCCAAUCCCAGAAACCCGAUCGUAGUCCGGAUCACAGUCUGCAACUCGACUGGUGAUCGGAAUCGCUGGUAAUCGCGGAUCAGCAUGUCGCGGUGAAUACGUUCCCAGGUCUUGUACACACCGCCCGUCACCAUGGGAGUGGGUUUUACCCAGAAGUAGUUAGCCUAACCGUAAGGAGGGCGAUUACCACGGUAAGUUCAUGACUGGGGUGAAGUCGUAACAAGGUAG
rnacentral:rRNA from 1 species